UGAACCUGCGGAAGGAUCAUUACAGUAUUCUUUUUGCCAGCGCUUAAUUGCGCGGCGAAAAAACCUUACACACAGUGUUUUUUGUUAUUACAAGAACUUUUGCUUUGGUCUGGACUAGAAAUAGUUUGGGCCAGAGGUUUACUG
rnacentral:rRNA from 1 species